CAGCAAUGCCGCGUGAGUGAUGAAGGCCCUAGGGUUGUAAAGCUCUUUUACCCGGGAUGAUAAUGACAGUACCGGGAGAAUAAGCUCCGGCUAACUCCGUGCCAGCAGCCGCGGUAAUACGGAGGGAGCUAGCGUUGUUCGGAAUUACUGGGCGUAAAGCGCGCGUAGGCGGUUUUCCAAGUCAGGGGUGAAAGCCCGGGGCUCAACCCCGGAAUAGCCCUUGAAACUGGAAGACUAGAAUCUUGGAGAGGUCAGUGGAAUUCCGAGUGUAGAGGUGAAAUUCGUAGAUAUUCGGAAGAACACCAGUUGCGUAGGCGGCUAUCUGGACGAGUAUUGACGCUGAGGUACGAAAGCGUGGGGAGCAAACAGGAUUAGAUACCCUGGUAGUCCACGCCGUAAACGAUGAUAACUAGCUGUCCGGGUUCAUAGAACUUGGGUGGCGCAGCUAACGC
rnacentral:rRNA from 1 species